GGAAGUUAUGAUGUGUUAGUAAAAGUGUGUCGGUGUGUGUGAUAGUGGUUCCAGAGGCCAUGUGGGCACCUCGUCGUCAUUCUGGAUGCAGUGCAUCAUGGACCUGACCAGCGCCGCCCAUGUGCCACGCCCACCGCUCUGACGCCCAGGCUUCGGCAAAUUUGCAUUAAACCCGCCAAGUGAGCUGAGUGGAUGAGUUGGACUGGCAUGUGGCUGUGGAGGCGGAUGAGGUUGGGGAUGAGGAUGAGGAUGCGGAUGCGGAUGAGGAUGCGGAUGCCAUCAGUUUUCCACAGAACGGGAUGAAGGGGACGGGCAGGUGGAGAUUGGAAUAAAGUGCAGCGAUGCCAGAGGCAAACAGCGCGGAACCGAGCGCCCAUAAAGGGAGCUGGAUCUGGAGAGGAUUCCGCACAUAUGCACAUAUAGGGGCUGGGACUGGAGUGAUGUGGAGUGGAGUGGAGUGGAGGGGACGACGAGGAGCAGGAGAGGCCCGGUGACAAGGCGACAGUCCGAUCCCAAACUCCCGCAUCACGUUCUUGACCAGGUGGCAACGCUGCACGUUAGGUGGCGCAACGGAAACGGAAAAGCCUUGCCUCGCCAGCAACCUUUAACUCGCCACGCACGCAACACACGCGCGAUUAGCAGCAAUUUGUACAGCAAUUAAGCUCAAGUGCAAUAAAAGUUAUUUGCACCGCAAAGUGCAGCGGGGAAAAAAGAGGAAAGGGGUGUAAUGUAAUGGCAGUAGUAAUGUUGGCGAAUGCUGUUGCAGCGAGUACAACGGCGAUGACAACAGUAAGUCGGGCAGUAAACGGCAGGAGCUAAAAGUUAUGCACUUUUUUAAGUGAAUAUGAUUGCAUUCUAAUGUCAGGCCAUAAAUUAGCGACUUGGACUCCAGACUACGGACUCCGGACUCCGGACUCCAUGGCAUGACCUGAGCUCAGCACGCGACCCACGCCGCUGACAGCCUCGCUAUCCACACAAUUCACCCACUGAGCACCACUGAGCACCACCCAGCACCACCAGCCCGUGUCCUUCCCCCCUCCCCUCCCCCCGAGGACCGCCGAACCCCACUGCGCGUUACGUGACAGGAGUAUGCGAAACUUUUCAGCUUGAACGAAAAUUUAUAUGCUGAAAAAUAUAGCGAGCGAAGCCAGUGCACACACCGCAGAAAAAAAAAAAAAGAAAUCAAGAAAAUAAAAUGGUGAGAGGCGUAAAAGAGUUUGCCACACAUAAAAUACCCAGCACUGCGAUUCCUUUUUUGUUUACGAUCUGCCAUUAAACUAUGGAAUGGCUUCAUUUGAUUUUGAAACAGAUAUUGCUGCAGAAAAUCGUCAAAAGAUUGCACAAAAUGACAAUAGUAACGAAAUGCACUGCAAUUGAAAGGGUGUGUAUUUUAUAGCUAUAUUCUCUAAAUAAAAAUUUAGGUUUUGGAUAAAACAACUUUGCACUGGCAUAUAUUCAAAUAAAUAAGGUGUCAAGUUCUGUUUCGUCACAGACCAAGAGUCAAUUUGUUUAUGAAAGCCAAUAGAAUUACCAUCCCAAAAGUUAAGAACAUAGCUGCUGCAGAUCCGAAGAUCACAUAGACUAGAUACUGCUGCAUAUGCCCCAGCACACCCUAUGGUAUCAUAUGAAAAAGAAAGGGGUAGAAAUGUGCGAAAAAUUCGCAGAGCAUGACUGGGCUGAAAAGUGGGUGGUGCAAGUGGUGCGAGGUGGUGCUUACCCCGCGAGUGCGACUGGGUGUGAUGAAGUAAGAGGUUCGCAAGUGGGGAGGCGACAUUUUGUGCGGUUUCGCGUGCCACUGGAAAGUUGAACGUGCUGGGCUAAUGCUGCUGCUGCUGCUGAUGCCAUGAUGCCAUGAUGCCAUAGCUCCGGCUGUAGCUUCUGUUCCGACUCCUGCUCCUCCAGCGCAUCUGGCACUGCCAAGGCCAAGGGGGCGAUGUGUGAUGUGGGCGUGGCACAUGCACUCGCAUGCCGCCGCUGAAGAUGAAAAACUGCUGCGGAUUACGUGGUGCCCCAAUAUCAUGGAACGGGCCAAAUAUGUCGGUGGGCGUGGCAAUUAAAAUCGCCCUGCAAGCUAUUCACAAACUGAACCGGAAUAUAAUGCCAGCGAGUUGAUAUGCCACGCAGUUGGACCGCAUGAACAUCGGUUUUGGAUUGGGGCCCCUGGGGGGCCACGCCCUCUGGACUUUUGCAACUGCAAAUGAACCUUUCAACUCACUGCCAACAGUGUUGCCAACUAUGGGCUAAGCCCAAAAAAAAAGAAAAAAUGAAGGAUGAAAACAACGAGGUCCUGGCUUAAAAAUAUCCGCAAUUGCUGGGGAUUAUUUUUAAGUAGGCCUCGAUUACAACAGUAGUUGUCGCACCUAUGUGAACUUUCAAUUCAAAUCGUCCUGUAAAUUUCAAUGGAUUAAGACUUUAAGUAAUUUACAUACAAGUAGUUGUGCUAGU